AAGACAGAGACAUACAGGGAGAAUGAGAAGUGACAACAGAGGCAGGGAAUGGAGUAAUGCAGUUGCAAGCUAAGGAAAGCCAAGUAUUGAUGUUCACCACCAGAAACUAGGAAGAGGCAGGAAAGGAGUCUACUCAGAGUUCUAGAGGGAGCACGGUCUCACUAACACCUUGAUUUCAGACUGCUAGCCUCCAGAUUAUGAGAGAAUGAACUUUUGUUGUUUUAAGCCAGCUAGCUGUAGUACAUUAUUAUGGAAGCUUCAGCAAACUAAUACAGUAUGUAUCACACCUUCUGAUAUACUACAUAUUUUACAUGUUUGUUGUAUUUAUCAUCUGUCUCCCCAACAUGGUAGAGUAAACUCCAAGGAGGACACACCAUUUCUGGCUCCCUAGUCCAUACUGCUCUGAUCUCUGCUGGGUUCCACUCGAUUCGACUUCUGCCUAGGAUUAAUUGAUCCUAAUGCUUCUGGAUGAACCUGCAGAGAAAUUUCAUGAAGAUAUGAACUGAACUCAAAGCAAGAAGUGGAAAUUCUACCUUCUAAGGAUAGUGGAAGAAUAAUUUGGAAUUGUAUAAAAUUUGGAGAUGACAGACUACAGUGCUGUAAAGGAAGUCUUCCAUUUGGACUCCCAGAUAAUACUGCCCAUGUGCCCAGACCACAUAGUGUGAAGGGUUAGCUCGAUGCUCUUGAUUGGCACUUCCCCAGAAAAGACCCUCCCUGGCAGGUGCAGAUGGUGUAGAUCCCAGCUUUUCCUCAAAUUCUCAGCAUGGCCACACUUCCAGAAUCAGUCUCAUUACCCUCAGACUAUGCACACAAGCUGGGCAAUGGACAUCUUCCGAAGUUUGAGUCUUCACUCAUCAGAGCCACUGUUCCAAGCAUCUGGCUUCUGAAAACCUCAAAUUAUUUUCUUUCUUUCUCCAGUCCUAGAGAUGACAGCAGCUUCUUGCAAUAAUUAGCAUAGUGUUCAUUUUUAGGCGUUUCAGUUCUCCAGCAUCUGUUUAACUAUUUCCCUACAUUAAAAUCUCUUGGUUGAA